AUUGAACGCUGGCGGCAGGCCUAACACAUGCAAGUCGAGCGGAUGAAGGGAGCUUGCUCCUGGAUUCAGCGGCGGUCGGGUGAGUAAUGCCUAGGAAUCUGCCUGGUAGUGGGGGAUAACGUCCGGAAACGGGCGCUAAUACCGCAUACGUCCUGAGGGAGAAAGUGGGGGAUCUUCGGACCUCACGCUAUCAGAUGAGCCUAGGUCGGAUUAGCUAGUUGGUGGGGUAAAGGCCUACCAAGGCGACGAUCCGUAACUGGUCUGAGAGGAUGAUCAGUCACACUGGAACUGAGACACGGUCCAGACUCCUACGGGAGGCAGCAGUGGGGAAUAUUGGACAAUGGGCGAAAGCCUGAUCCAGCCAUGCCGCGUGUGUGAAGAAGGUCUUCGGAUUGUAAAGCACUUUAAGUUGGGAGGAAGGGCAGUAAGUUAAUACCUUGCUGUUUUGACGUUACCAACAGAAUAAGCACCGGCUAACUUCGU
rnacentral:rRNA from 1 species